CGCGGCUCGGCUUGUUGUACAUCUUGCGGCACUGCGUGGAGUAGAACUGGAAAGGCACCCAGGUCUUGCCGUAGUCCAUGGACUUGUGGAUGGCCAUGGACUCGGGGCGCGGCGAGCAGAACUGCAGGCUGACAGCUGCGGGACACCCAGCAGCCAGGAGAGCUCCGGGCUGGCCCGAACAGGAGCCGGAGCGGCUCAGGCGCUCCCGGGAACUCGCAGGUGGUUUCAGCCGCUGCAGCACUGCGGAGACUGUUUAGGGGAAGGACCCGUGGAAGGUGGUGGAGCUGAAACCCAGAUCUCAGCGGGAAUGUUCCUCCCCUGUGAAAAGGAACUCGAUCUCCUUAAGCUGCUGUAAGGUAAAGGUGGAACCUGGGCUGGGCUUCCAAGGGAGAGGGAGGGAGCGUGGCAGAAACUGGGGCCAGAACAGGCAGGGCAGGGUGGAUUUCAGCAACCUAAGGAGCACGAUUAUCGAAACAUGGAUCCCCAGAGCCUCCAGAUUCCCAGGUAACUCCCUUUGCCAGAUAAUUAACUCUUCUCCAACAUUCCCUCUGCAGUGAUAAGUGGGCCCGUGGGACACAGCUCCGACUGCAGCUGGGACAGUCCCGGGGCAGGCUCUGUUUCAGCAUUGCAGAUGAAGCGGGAGUUUUAUUGCUUUUUUUUGUUUGUUUGUUUGUUUGUGG